GAUGAACGCUGGCGGCGUGCCUAAUACAUGCAAGUCGAGCGAACGGACGAGAAGCUUGCUUCUCUGAUGUUAGCGGCGGACGGGUGAGUAACACGUGGAUAACCUACCUAUAAGACUGGGAUAACUUCGGGAAACCGGAGCUAAUACCGGAUGAUAUUUUGAACCGCAUGGUUCAAAAGUGAAAGACGGUCUUGCUGUCACUUAUAGAUGGAUCCGCGCUGCAUUAGCUAGUUGGUAAGGUAACGGCUUACCAAGGCAACGAUGCAUAGCCGACCUGAGAGGGUGAUCCGCCACACUGGAACUGAGACACGGUCCAGACUCCUACGGGAGGCAGCAGUAGGGAAUCUUCCGCAAUGGGCGAAAGCCUGACGGAGCAAAGCCGCGUGAGUGAUGAAGGUCUUCGGAUCGUAAAACUCUGCUAUUAGGGAAGAACAUAUGUGUAAGUAACUGUGCACAUCUUGACGGUACCUAAUCAGAAAGCCACGGCUAACUACGUG
rnacentral:rRNA from 1 species